UACAUUGACUAUAGAUGAUUUGGAGCUAGUAGUGGGCUGCACUAUUGACCUUGCUCUCCAAUAGUACAGCCCACUACUAGCUCCAAAUCAUCUAUAGCC
rnacentral:pre_miRNA from 1 species